rnacentral:rRNA from 1 species
CAGUCAAGCGUUUUCUAGCUAAUGUGAGAGCGCGGCGUACAGCUCAGUAACACGUGGCCAACCUGCCCUUGGGACGGGAACACCCCCGGGAAACUGGGGUUAAUUCCCGAUAGGUGAAGAAGUCUGGAAUGAAUCUUCGCUCAAAAGACGUUUAUGUCAUGCUCAUACUCGUCGCCCAGGGAUGGGGCCGCGACCGAUCAGGUUGUUGGUGAGGUAAUGGCUCACCAAGCCUUUUACCGGUGCGGGCCGUGAGAGCGGGAGCCCGGAGAUGGGCACUGAGACAAAGGCCCAGGCCCCACGGGGCGCAGCAGUCGCGAAAACUUUGCAAUACACGAAAGUGUGACAGGGCUAUCCCGAGUGCCAUCCGCUGAGGAAGGCUUUUACCCAGUAUAAAUAGCUGGGAGAAUAAGGAGAGGGCAAGUCUGGUGUCAGCCGCCGCGGUAAUACCAGCUCUCCGAGUAGUGUGGAUGUUUAUUGGGCCUAAAGCAUCCGUAGCUUGCUAGAUAAGUCCCCUGUUAAAUCCACCGAUUUAAUCGUUGGAUUGCGGGGGAUACUGUUUGGCUAGGGGACGGGAGAGGUCGACGGUAUUCCCGGGGUAGGGGUGAAAUCCUAUAAUCCCGGGAGGACCACCAGUGGCGAAGGCUGUCGACUAGAACGCGCCCGACGGUGAGGGAUGAAAGCUGGGGGAGCGAACCGGAUUAGAUACCCGGGUAGUCCCAGCUGUAAACGAUGCAGGCUAGGUGUUUGGGCGGCCACGAGCCGCCCUAGUGCCGCAGAGAAGUUGUUAAGCCUGCCGCCUGGGGAGUACGGCCGCAAGGCUGAAACUAAAG